rnacentral:snRNA from 1 species
GUAUGGCAGUACAUCCACUAAAAUUGGAGAAAUACUGAGAAGAUUAGCAAGGUCCCUGGUUCAAGGAUGACAUACAAAACUGUGGAAGCAGGCAGAGUGGU